rnacentral:SRP_RNA from 2 species
AUUUUGGCUAGACUGGAGGGUUAGGGGUCCUCUGUAAGCAUACACCCCCUCUGAUGCAGUCGAAGUUCAAGAGGCGGCUUUUCAAGAGAAUUAUAAGCCUAGGAAAUCAACAUAGAAGUCUCGUCCUGCAGGAUUGAUGGUGAUAAAACUUUUACUGGAGGGUAAAGGUAAAUUAUCUUUAUUAUAGGAAUGUGUCAGGCCCGGAAGGGAGCAGCUCUACUAUUUACAACCAAUGCUUGUAGAACAGCGGGAUGGAGUUGUUUUUUCUAGAUAACUUAUAUUUUUGAGUCUUGUCCACUCUUGAACAUGCCAUUUG